rnacentral:rRNA from 1 species
UACGGAGGGUGCGAGCGUUGUCCGGAAUCAUUGGGCGUAAAGGGCGCGUAGGUGGCCCCGGUCAGUUUCGUGGUGAAAGCGCGGGGGCUCAACCCUGCGUCGGCCAUGAAUACUGCCGCGGCUGGAGCACUGUAGAGGCAGGCGGAAUUCCGGGUGUAGCGGUGGAAUGCGUAGGAGAUCCGGAAGAACACCGGUGGCGAGGCGGC